GCGGUAUCCCAUGGUAACGUACACGGAGCCGGGGAAACACCGAUGUGUGCUACUGCAUGAAGAACAGCCUGCUUCAGCUGUGCUGGGAGCUGCCAGUUGUUGGUCUGGUCCUGUCUCCCUCCUGAAAGAAAAAGGAGCAACCUCCCAGAGGAAGGCAUCUUGCACCCUUAUCGUGCUUCUGAAACAGACCACUAGCACUGAUUAAUACCAGUAAGGGCUGGGUGAAUCCACAGAGUGUAUGCGAGGCUCUUUUGAACAGUCACCAGCAGAUGAAGUAAUUGGAGGCCUCACCCACAGCACAGUUUAUUCAGCCAGCUGCUGUAGGUCUUCUAACAGAGUUGCUUUUUAAUAUGCACAAACAUCUCACUAAGUCAAGCACUGAAAAAUGUCACUUUGAUUUUGACAUGCUGCCCACAAAGUAUGAUGUGUUUUCUGUUGUGUGCUGUUGUCAAGGUGAAGAAAUGCACUAACGUGGGGUUUUAAUUACUUUGAUUUCAAGCUCUGAUACCAGCUGUAAGGGAAACAUCGCCCUAGAUGAAUAAAGAGAUGGUGCAACAGCUGAUCAGGCCUCUGGUGAGGAGCCAAGCACUUCUAAUGCAAGGAGGUGAUUUCAGUCUUGUUUCAAUCUCUAGUUUCUUCGAUCCUGUUACUCAGUUCCUACAGAGGCUUCUGCUGGGCGCAAGCAAACACCAGGAGACAAGAAAAGACAUGUAUUGUCUGAAAUGCAGUGGUCAGGAGGUCUAAGAUCAUAUAUUGCUGAAGAGAUGGUCAGCUCAAGAUGGUAGGUACUCAAGCCUACAUGGUGGAGAUGGAUGGAGGGAAGCCAAUAAAAAAGAGGUAAGUAUUUGCCAGCAGUACAAAGGUGUGGAUAACGCUGGUGAAAACACCCAGGAUGUGAUGUAGGCAGAAAAAAGACAUGAGAGAGAGAGAGGAGCUUCUUCAGGAGUAUCUCAAAAAGCAGCAGGAUUAGAGAAUGAGUCUACAGGCUGUGAAAGGAGAAGACUUACAUAGAUCCAGCAAAGCUGGAGGGCUGAAUCCCUGUGGAUGAUUCAAGUAAAUGCUAAUGGUGAAUUCCAUAUGCAUCAGAUACACCUGGUCUCUACACAGUGAUUCUUUGCUGCCCAACAGGGGAAUCUGUUGUGUUUUUCAGUAACUUCCCAUGUUGCUGUUUAAUUUAAAAGGGAAGCUCAGAGUCCAUGGUUGAUGAUAUUGGAGUUGCUGCUCGGACCAGACUGUUUCCCAUUACACUUCCCUGAAAGCAUCCCACUAGAAUCCCUCCUUUUGUAAUGUUAGGGUGGCAGUGGCCGAAUUCAAAGGGAGUGCUGCACAUAACAAAGCUAGCCUGGAAAGCUGACAUAAAAAAGCCAGAGGCCCUGAUGACUCAGGUAUUAAUGUACUCCACUUCAUCAGAACAAGCUGCAUCUGAUAAACUGUGCUCACUCCAGAUACAGAAGCAAGAGCUUUUAAUUUGAUGCAGCCUCUCUACUGGAGACUGACAGUACCAAGAAGAAACUGGGUUAAACGCAGAUACAUCUGCAGCAUGUCUAAUGUGCUGAGGAAUGUCUUAGAGCCAGAAGGAGCUCCACUACCACUGCAGAUAUGGAGGAAUAAAUGUUGUAGCAUUUAGGAACAAUGGGAGAGAUUUAGCAUCCCUGCUUUAUGGGCCGCCUUCAUGUUGUGACAGUGUCUUGGUGGUGUCUGCUAAGAAACUGUCCUAGACAGAGCUAUUAACCUCCACUACCCUGAUACAGCCACUUUUCCUUCCUGCAGUCCCCUUCUUCUCACACUUUGCACGCCCUGGCAUGCAGUAGUGGCCCAGCUCAUUCUGAUCACUGAAGGAAAAUGGGUAUUGUCCUCCAGUGUUAGACCAGGCAACCAUCCUGCCCUGUAUCUUGCUUCUAGCAAGGAUGCAGCAUGUCAGGUGGUGGCCUGUUAGCACAGAGGUGGGCCAGCCAUCUGUCUUCUCUACUUGGGUCUGAUCCUGAGCUCUAAUAGCUAGCAUUUGGUUCAAAAUUGUCAUCUGUGUUAAUUUUGAAAGCCCCUAGUGUUGCUCUAUGAAACUGCCAACCUGUUCUAUGUCUUUCUAAGCCCCUGUCUUGAAAGGUUUCUUGUGGCUUUGAGCACCACGCUCCACUUACACACGCUACUGGCAUGAAAAAUUCAGUCUUAAUAUCCCUUCACAUCACUGAAGACAAGAAGAGCAGAAACUCCCCAUCUGCUCUCUCUGCAGUGUUAUUUUAUAUAUUUCUUUUAUACCCUUUGCUUCCUCCAAGGAGAGCUUUUCCUUGAUCUUUGGUCGUUCUUGUCAUUGUUUAAUGCUGCUCUUUUAGAGACAAGAUUACCCACUACACAAAGUGUUCCAGGGGGACCUGCCCCUCUAAUUACAUUUAAUCAUCAUUUUCCCUCAUAUUCCCUACGGAUCCAAAUACCUUGUUCAUUUUUUUACUUGCAGUUCAAGCUGAGCAAAGGUUUUCUGUGAAAGCUUCUGAAGGCUCCUGAUACCAGAACCCUGCAAGCAAGGACCUUCUAAAAAUACCACAGCAUCCCAGGAAAGGAGCCCAGAUAUUACUAGAGAUAACCCAGCUUUUACAAUAGUUGGCUACUAGUUCUGCCAUUGAGCAAUAAUACGCAUUUCCUCACUUUUUAUUGUCUCUUGCAUUCUCUCGUAUGUGGGAAACACUGAGCUACUUUGUUCUUUUUACUGCUUAUUUUCUACAUCGCAAAACCCACUGUUUCCCUUCUUUCUUUUCCAGGAAGACUUCUGAACCAGAAUGAGUGUAGGAAAAAACCCUGUCAUUUUUCUGUUGUUCUUCAAGAAUGCCAAUUUAACUCACAGAGCUGAAAAAGUAGCAGUAGAAAAUUUUUCCUGGCUAAAACUGCUGGGGAUUGGACUUGUUUACCUAGGAGAGACUUUGUAGGACUAUGUCCCAUAUGCACAGGAAUAAGGAUGUUUGUCAUUUCAUAUCACCGGGGCACUGUACCACGCUGGCAGCGCUGAGUCACGCUUCCCUGCAAAGCCAACGUGGCCCUUGGCAAUCAGAAGGAAGCAGAGGUAACUGAAACGCUGCAGUCAGAAGGCUUACCAUAAAAGCAUACUUCAUGGAAACAAGUUGUACUUGAAGAGGUGGACAGACAACACAUCAAGUGAACUAUGGUUGACUGACUCACAAUUUUCUCACCCAACUCUG